AAAAUGCACCUGAAUUACACAAAACACGGAGGGACUUUCUUUAAAACACUACAUUUCCAGCCACGAAAAGGAACUAAAGUAUUUUCAGAUGUCAUUUUAGAAAAUCAGGAUGCUUUAUGUGGAUACGUUUUCAUAAGGCUGAGAAGAUGAAUCUGACUGAGAUAAACAGGUACGAUUAAGACUUCAUAUUUACUCCGUGUGUGAAUGGUUUUAAUAUUUG